rnacentral:rRNA from 1 species
UACGGGGGGGGCAAGCGUUGUUCGGAAUUACUGGGCGUAAAGGGCUCGUAGGUGGCCAACUAAGUCAGACGUGAAAUCCCCAGGCUUAACCUGGGAACUGCGUCUGAUACUGGAUGGCUUGAGUCCGGGAGAGGGAUGCGGAAUUCCCGGUGUAGCGGUGAAAUGCGCAGAGAUCGGGAGGAACACCCGUAGCGAAGGCGGCACUCUGGGCCGGUACUGACGCUGAGGAGCGAAAGCGUGGGGAGCAAACAGG